ACUAGCGAACCCCCAGGCGCAGGACCCCGGAGUUCCAUUGUUUUCCUGCUCCCUCCUUGGGUUGUGUCAGUGUGGACGGGCCUUCAUAGGGAGGAAAAAGAGUGAGGAUGGACACCUUAACUUGGUAAUGAACUCGUGGAUUUUGCCCUGAUCGGGAAUUGAACCAGCAACCUUUUGGUGCACCGGAUGAUGCCCAACCAACUGAGCCACGCUGGCCAGGUCUUGUCGUUUUUCUUUAUGGAGAUAAAAAGGUUCACAACAAAGUGGGGCUAGGUGGAUUGCACCUGCCUGAGCAGAACACUAGGGAAUGGACAGUUCUCCAGGUACCUUCAGUAGCUUUCAAGGCCUGGGAAAAGAAGUGCAGACCUCUUCUGGCAGCCCUGAAGGUAAGAAGAGUAGGCAAAGAGAAUGAUUUGGUAGAUAGCUAGAAUUCCAGGUUAGGAGAUAAAGAGGCCUGAGAAAAAAUGAACCUGUCUUGCCACAUGCAAGACAGUGAGGAGGCCAGCGUGGUAAGAAGUAAAGACUCAUUUGUUUAUCAGUAUAUUCCGCUGAACACUUUUCCUGCUUUGAUACAUCAGCGUCUAAAACAGUAAAGUCUUCUCGGCAGGAUGUGGAUACUAUCUAAGCCAAGAUAGACAAUGGAUGAAUGACGGGAGGGAGUUAGUCCUGAGGGAGAAAGGGCAAAUUCGUGAACAAGCUUCUUUUCCAAUUCCAGCUCCUCUCCCCUUCUUUCCUACUCAAAGAGGUUAGAAUCCUACACCUACCUCAGCAUUUUUCAAACAGCAGGGCAAAACCGUGUGUGCUAUCCUGACUAUCAUUAAGGAAGGAGGUGGAGGGGUGGGGGGAGAGGGAGAAAGCGAGAGACAAAAGAAAAGGCAGAGCAUAGAAAGUAUCAGUUUCCAUUUCCCCAUGCAUUCCCACGUAAACUCACACCACACACAAGUACACAUACAUGGCU